AUUGAACGCUGGCGGAAUGCUUUACACAUGCAAGUCGAACGGUAACAGGUCUUCGGAUGCUGACGAGUGGCGAACGGGUGAGUAAUAUAUCGGAACGUGCCCAGUCGUGGGGGAUAACGUAGCGAAAGUUACGCUAAUACCGCAUACGAUCCAUGGAUGAAAGCGGGGGAUCGCAAGACCUCGCGCGAUUGGAGCGGCCGAUAUCAGAUUAGGUAGUUGGUGGGGUAAAGGCUCACCAAGCCAACGAUCUGUAGCUGGUCUGAGAGGACGACCAGCCACACUGGAACUGAGACACGGUCCAGACUCCUACGGGAGGCAGCAGUGGGGAAAUUUGGACAAUGGACGCAAGUCUGAUCCAGCCAUUCCGCGUGCAGGAUGAAGGCCCUCGGGUUGUAAACUGCUUUUGUACGGAACGAAAAGGUCUCUCCUAAUACGAGGGGCUCAUGACGGUACCGUAAGAAUAAGCACCGGCUAACUACGUGCCAGCCGCCGCGGUAAGAC
rnacentral:rRNA from 1 species